GACAGAGGAGCCAAGCGUUGUCCGGACUGACUGGGCGUAAAGCGCACGCAGGCGGCGCUGCGCGUGGGGUGUGAAAGCUCUUGGCUUAACUGAGAGAGGCCAUCCCAUACGGCAGUGCUCGAGCGGUGCAGAGGUCCGCGGAAUUGCCGGUGUAGUGGUGAAAUGCGUAGAGAUCGGCGGGAACACCCAGGGGGAAACCAGCGGACUGGGCAUCAGCUGACGCUCAGGUGCGACAGCGUGGGGAGCGAACCGG
rnacentral:rRNA from 1 species